UACGGGGGGGGCGAGCGUUGUUCGGAAUCACUGGGCAUAAAGCGCACGUAGGCGGCCAAGUCAGUCAGGUGUGAAAUACCUCGGCUCAACCGAGGAACUGCGCCUGAUACUGCUUGGCUUGAGGUCCGGAGGGGAGAGUGGAAUUCCCGGUGGAGCGGUGAAAUGCGUAGAGAUCGGGAAGAACGCCGGCGGCGAAAGCGACUCUCUGGUCGGAAUCUGACGCUGAGGUGCGAAAGCUAGGGGAGCAAACGGG
rnacentral:rRNA from 1 species